AAAAGAAUAUUUCCAAUGGUGUCACUUGUAAAAGCGGACAGAAAAGAAAGAACGAAAUCAAUCUGUCGAUACAACCGAAACCUAAACAGCUGAAAUCAGAUGCAAAGAAUGAUGAUCCGUAUUUAAAUGUCAAAGAUCGGCAAUCUACUUCAAUUAUUGUAGAUGUGUUAGCCUCAACGAUUGAUAACGCUUCACGUGGCAAAAUAAUUGAUGUAACGGGGAAAACUUGGACGCUAAUAAAGCAAAUAAAUGAUAAUAAGGCGGAUCCGCAAUUGGAUAAUAUUCAAUCGAAAAAAAAAGACAACUCCAGGGAGGGUCAAUACAAAAUUAGAUAAUCUGAAGACUUUAAACGUUUCCUCUAUAAAUUAUCUCCAACUCAUGAAAAUGCUGGAAGGAAUUGUUGUAACCCUUGAAGUCUUGGCAAAUCAAGGCCUCAUUCUAAAUGUACUUGAAGCGUCAGCAUUUACAUAAAACGGGAUUGCUUAUUUGGGAAGGUUCGAAGACAAAUAUAAUUUUGAUCUAUCUUUCAAGUCGGUAGAAGAGUUCCAAAACUUUGAUGUACAAUUGAAGGACCCUACUUGUCUCAAGGAUUUUAUGGCGUCCUUAUUUUGUUUAAUAGAUAGUUGUAGACAAUAUACAAAAACUAUUAACAACGUUUUAAAAAAAUAUGUCUCGGGACGUUGCACUGAAAUAUACUGCACAAAAAUAAUGUGCAGAUAAAUUUAUCCUAAAGGGAACAAUUUUUUGUAAAUGUUGAUACGUAAAAUAUUUCAAAAUAUUACUACAUACAUAUAUUAUACAUAUGAGUUAACUUUUUUCAAGAGAAUUUUGUAAUGUAUUAAUAUAAUAAACGAUUAUAAUAUUUUAGACGUGGUGCUAAGUAAGCACACCAAUGAAAAUAAUUCACAACUUACUGAGAAGGAAGUCUUAUCCAGCUUGGGUACAUGCGUAACCAAUGCUAAGGAUUGGGACGGAUUUCGUGUGAAGCGAAAUAAGCAGUAAAGUUAUUAUUUUUAACGAAUCGCUUUUUAUUUCAUAUUUAUAUAGGUGUAGUAAUUUAUGCUUAUUACUUGCAAUUCUACAAGGAAGAAAACUAUAAACCCAAAGAGGACUUCCGUUUCCGGCGCAGUAGCGAGAGGCACGUGGUGAUUGAGCGUGAGUGAGUGACGGAAAGGAGAGAGUGUGUGGAAGGAGAGGAAAGGUAGGAGUGUGUGGAGGAGAGAGUGGAGGUGUGAGUGAGAGCGUGUGAAUGAGGUGGGCAUAGGGAAGGGCAGGAUAGAAGGGAAAAAGGGCCCAGAGUAUAGAGUGACAGGUGGGCAGGUGGGCUGGCAUAGACUACGGCGUGUAAAGAGAGGAAGAGGUGGUGCGAGUGGGCAGGGAUGGAUGGUAAGGCGCGAUCUGGCGGGAUAGAAAAGAGGAAGGCAAGGGAAAGAUGCAUG